rnacentral:lncRNA from 1 species
AAAAAAUAGCACUUGAAAUUCAAUAUUAGUACAGGCAUGUCUAUUUCCCAAACUAAAUGUGAGAGAAAACGACAUCAAAGGAAUAUUCCAACUCAUAAGUAGGAAUCUAAUUAACCAUAUUAUGAGAAAACAAAUGACAAAGGACAAACAACGUAACACAAAAAGCACCAUAGAAAAUUAAGGACUGAACAACACAAACCGCAC